rnacentral:tRNA from 1 species
GCCUUCUUGGUGUAAAGGUAUUACACUCGACUCGUAUUUGAAAGGUCCAGGUUCGAAUUCCGGCUAAGGCA